CACGCCGUAAACGAUGGAUACUAGCUGUUCGGAGCAAUCUGAGUGGCUAAGCGAAAGUGAUAAGUAUCCCACCUGGGGAGUACGCACGCAAGUGUGAAACUCAAAGGAAUUGACGGGGGCCCGCACAAGCGGUGGAGCAUGUGGUUUAAUUCGAUGCAACGCGAAGAACCUUACCUGGCCUUGACAUGUCUGGAAUCUUGUAGAGAUACGAGAGUGCCUUCGGGAAUCAGAACACAGGUGC
rnacentral:rRNA from 1 species